rnacentral:rRNA from 1 species
UACGGAGGUCUCAAGCGUUGUUCGGAUUCAUUGGGCGUAAAGGGUGCGUAGGCGGCGCGGUAAGUCGGGUGUGAAAUCUUGGAGCUUAACUCCGAAACUGCAUUCGAUACUGCCGUGCUUGAGGACUGGAGAGGAGACUGGAAUUUACGGUGUAGCGGUGAAAUGCGUAGAUAUCGUAAGGAAGACCAGUGGCGAAGGCGGGUCUCGUGGACAGUUCCUGACGCUGAGGCACGAAGGCCAGGGGAGCAAACGGG